AGCAGCCGCGGUAAUUCCAGCUCCAAUAGCGUAUAUUAAAGUUGUUGCAGUUAAAAAGCUCGUAGUUGAAUUUCGGGAUCAAGGGAUCGGUCAUGCCUUGGUAUGUACUGGUCUUAUUGGUUCUCACCUUCUAAAGAACCAUGAUGUCAUUCAUUUGAUGUUAUGGGGAAUUAGGACUGUUACCUUGAAAAAUUAGAGUGUUUAAAGCAAGCUUACGCUUGAAUACAUUAGCAUGGAAUAAUGAAAUAGGACAUCAGAUUCUAUUUUGUUGGUUUCUAGGAUCGAUGUAAUGAUUAAUAGGGAUAGUUGGGGGCAUUAGUAUUCAAUUGUCAGAGGUGAAAUUCUUGGAUUUAUUGAAGACUAACUACUGCGAAAGCAUUUGCCAAGGAUGUUUUCAUUAAUCAAGAACGAAAGUUAGGGGAUCGAAGACGAUCAGAUACCGUCGUAGUC
rnacentral:rRNA from 1 species